rnacentral:rRNA from 1 species
UACGUAGGGGGCAAGCGUUGUCCGGAUUUAUUGGGCGUAAAGAGCGUGUAGGCGGCCAUACAGGGUCAGCUGUGAAAACUCGAGGCUCAACCUCGAGACGUCGGUUGAAACCGUAUGGCUAGAGUCCGGAAGAGGAGAGUGGAAUUCCCGGUGUAGCGGUGAAAUGCGCAGAUAUCGGGAAGAACACCCGUGGCGAAGGCGGCUACUCUGGGACGGGUACUGGACGCUGAGACGCGAAACGUGGGGAGCGAACAGG